UACAAGAAAGCCGCCCACCACCACUUACUAAACCCGAAAAGUGUAAACCAAACACAGGGGAAAAAAAAUCCCGAGCUUCAACACUCCAGUCGCUCACUGAUUAAUUUCAAUAAAAAGAAGAAAAAGACAGUUGCUCACUGAUAUUGGUGUAGUGGCAGAGCAGUGAAGAGAAUCAGUUGAGAUAUGUCUAAGCAAGGAGAAGUGGUCUGCGUAACCGGUGCCAGCGGCAGCAUUGGGUCUUGGGUUGUCAAACUCCUCCUUGCUCGCGGCUACACCGUCCACGGGACCGUCAGAAAUCUCAAGGACGAGAAAGAAACGAAGCAUCUAGAAGCUCUAGAAGGAGCAGACUCACGUCUCCGCCUCUUCCAGAUCGAUCUCCUCGAUUAUGAUUCACUCGCCGCCGCAAUCAAUGGCUGUGCUGGUGUUUUCCACCUUGCUUCUCCAUGCAGCGUCGAUCGAGUUCACGAUCCUCAGAAGGAGCUUUUGGAUCCUGCGAUUAAAGGAACGCUUAAUGUACUGACAGCUGCCAAAGAGCUUGGUGUUAAACGUGUGGUGGUUACGUCUUCAAUCUCCUCCAUGUGGCCCUGCCCAAACUGGCCAGCUGAUAAAAUCAGAACAGAGGAUUGCUGGACUGAUAUUGAGUAUUGCAAGCAAAAUGAAUUAUGGUAUCCAAUUUCCAAAACACUAGCUGAGAAGGCUGCAUGGGAAUUUUCCAAGGAGAAAGGUCUGGAUGUGGUGGUUGUGAAUCCGGGCACCGUGAUGGGUCCUAAUAUACCUCCAAACCUUAAUGCUAGCAUGGUAAUGUUGUUACGCCUUCUGCAAGGCUGCACAGAGACAUAUCAGGACUUUUUCAUUGGAUCCGUCCAUUUCAAAGAUGUUGCGUUAGCACACAUUUUGGUAUAUGAGAACACAUCAGCAACCGGAAGGCACAUGUGCGUUGAAGCUCUAUCUCACUAUGGUGACUUCGUGGCCAAGGUUGCUGAACUUUACCCUGAAUAUAAUAUUCCCAGUUUGCCAAGGGAUACUCAACCUGGACUGUUAAGGGCUAAGAAUGGAGGUAAAAAGCUGAUGGACUUGGGGUUGGAAUUUAUUCCCAUGGAGCAGAUAAUCAAAGAUGCGGUUGAGAGUUUAAAAAGUAAGGGCUUUAUUUCAUGAAUGUAUCUUCUACACUAAAAGCUGUGCUGUAUAGCCGAUGAGUGUGGCCACGAACCGAUAAGUAAAGGGCAUGUAUGAAUAAUUUCAGGGGAGAGAAUGAAAUCAUGCGUGGCUAAGAGGAAUUAAGAAAAAAAAAGGGUCAUGAAUUAAGCUUCAGCUCCAUAAUUAAGAAAAUUCUGGAACGUAUAUCUUGAAAGGGGGCUCAUUGCUAAGUUAAAAACAGUGAUUGAAACUUAGAAUUAGAUUAAACCUGUUAUCACUGUAAAUAUGUUUAUUGUACAACUUCACAAGCACCUGCUUUUAAGUUUUGUACAAAAUUAUCAAUAAUGGUAGGAUUAGACUAUUAGUGUUCCUA